rnacentral:rRNA from 1 species
AUACGUAGGGGGCGAGCGUUGUCCGGAUUUAUUGGGCGUAAAGAGCGCGUAGGUGGCCUUUCAAGUCGUGCGUGAAAUACUCUGGCUCAACUGGAGUGGGUCGUGCGAUACUGGAGGGCUCGAGGCCGGAAGAGGGAAGUGGAAUUCCCGGUGUAGUGGUGGAAUGCGUAGAUAUCGGGAGGAACACCAGUGGCGAAGGCGGCUUCCUGGUCCGGUCCUGACGCUGAGGCGCGAAAGCGUGGGGAGCGAACUGAAUUAGAUACUCAGGUAGUCCACGCUGUAAACGAUGGAUGCUAGGUGUCGGGGGUAUCGACCCCCUCGGUGCCGGAGCUAACGCAUUAAGCAUCCCGCCUGGGGAGUACGGCCGCAAGGCUAAA